rnacentral:rRNA from 1 species
UAGGGAAUCUUCCACAAUGGGCGCAAGCCUGAUGGAGCAACACCGCGUGAGUGAAGGAAGGGUUUCGGCUCGUAAAGCUCUGUUGUUAAAGAAGAACACGUAUGAGAGUAACUGUUCAUACGUUGACGGUAUUUAACCAGAAAGUCACGGCUAACUACGUGCCAG